rnacentral:rRNA from 1 species
UMMRGMMGCUUAMCAUGCAAGUCGAGCGGGCAUCUUCGGAUGUCAGCGGCAGACGGGUGAGUAACACGUGGGAACGUACCCUUCGGUUCGGAAUAACGCUGGGAAACUAGCGCUAAUACCGGAUACGCCCUUUUGGGGAAAGGUUUACUGCCGAAGGAUCGGCCCGCGUCUGAUUAGCUAGUUGGUGGGGUAACGGCCUACCAAGGCGACGAUCAGUAGCUGGUCUGAGAGGAUGAUCAGCCACACUGGGACUGAGACACGGCCCAGACUCCUACGGGAGGCAGCAGUGGGGAAUAUUGGACAAUGGGCGCAAGCCUGAUCCAGCCAUGCCGCGUGAGUGAUGAAGGCCUUAGGGUUGUAAAGCUCUUUUGUCCGGGACGAUAAUGACGGUACCGGAAGAAUAAGCCCCGGCUAACUUCGUGCCAGCCGCCGCGGUAAUACGGG